rnacentral:rRNA from 1 species
AUUGAACGCUGGCGGCAUGCCUAACACAUGCAAGUCGAACGGAGCGGCGGACGGGUGAGUGAGGCCUAGGAAUCUGCCCGUUAGUAGGGGCUAACGUCCGGUAACGGGCGCUAAUACCGCAUACUAUCAGAUCAGCCUAGGUCGGAUUAGCUAGUGGGUGGGGUAAAGGCUUACCCAGGCAACGAUCCGUAGCUGGUCUGAGAGGAGGAUCAGUCACACUGGGACUGAGACACGGCCCAGACUCCUACGGGAGGCAGCAGUGGGGAAUAUUGGACAAUGGGGGAAAGCCUGAUCCAGCCAUGCCGCGUGUGUGAAGAAGGUCUUCGGAUUGUAAAGCACUUUUAGUUGAGAAGCGUUAUCAACAGAAUAAGCACCGGCUAACUACGUGCCAGCAGCCGCGGUAAUUC